rnacentral:rRNA from 1 species
AACGUAGGACGCAAGCGUUAUCCGGAGUGACUGGGCGUAAAGGGCGUGUAGGCGGCCUUUCAAGUUCGUCGUGAAAUUCUCCGGCUCAACCGGGGGAGGACGAGGGAGACUGAGAGGCUGGAGGACGGUAGAGGGACAGGGAAUUCCGGGUGUAGUGGUGAAAUGCGUAGAGAUCCGGAGGAACACCAGUGGCGAAGGCGCUGUCCUGGGCCGUUUCUGACGCUGAGACGCGACAGCAUGGGGAGCGAACGGGAUUAGAAACCCCAGUAGUCC